rnacentral:misc_RNA from 1 species
GAUGAAGAACGCAGCGAAAUGCGAUAAGUAGUGUGAAUUGCAGAAUUCAGUGAAUCAUCGAAUCUUUGAACGCACAUUGCGCCCUUUGGUAUUCCAAAGGGCAUGCCUGUUCGAGCGUCAUUUGUACCCUCAAGCUUUGCUUGGUGUUGGGCGUCUUGUCUCUAGCUUUGCUGGAGACUCGCCUUAAGGUAAUUGGCAGCCGGCCUACUGGUUUCGGAGCGCAGCACAAGUCGCACUCUCUAUCAGCAAAGGUCUAGCAUCCAUUAAGCCUUUUUUUCAACUUUUGACCUCGGAUCAGGUAGGGAUACCCGCUGAACUUAAGCAUAUCAAUAAGCGGAGGA